rfam:Asian citrus Psyllid, Diaphorina citri - Florida Strain, whole genome shotgun sequence.
GCUCCCAUGGCGUAGUGGUCACUGCGCUCGCCUUGCACGCGGGAGACCCGGGUUCGAUUCCCGGCAGGGUCA